rnacentral:lncRNA from 1 species
UUUUUUUUUUUUUUUUUUUGAGACGGAGUCUCACUCUUGUCGCCCAGGCCAGAGUGCAAUGGUGCGAUCUCAGCUCACUGCAACCUCUGCAUCCCAGGUUCAAGCGAUUCUCCUGCCUCAGCCUCCCGAGUAGCUGGGAUUACAGGCGUGCACCACCAUGCCUGGCUAAUUUUUGCCUUUUUAGUAGAGACGGGGUUUCAUCACGUUGGCCAGGCUGGUCUCGAACUGCUGACCUCAGGUGAUCUGCCCACCUCAGCUGCCCAAAGUGCUAGGAUUACAUGCGUGAGCCACUGCGCCUGGCCUCAACUUAUAAUUUUUUUUACCUUAUGAUGUGUGAAAGCCAUGAGCAUUUAAGUAGAAACCAUAUUUUGACUUUUGAAUGUUGGUCUUUUCCCAGGCUAACGAGGUGCGGUAGGAUACUCUCUCAUGAUGCUAGCAGUGGCAGGCCACCCCAGCUCCCGGUCAGCUAUGAGAUCAUGAGGGUAAACAACUGAGACUGUACUCUAUAGUGCACUGUAUUCAAGAAAUCACAUGACAUAGACACCACUUUAUUAUAAAAUAGGCUUUGUGUAAGAUGAUUUUGCCCAUCGGUAGGCUAACAAUGUAAGUGUUCUGAGCAUGUUUAAGGGAGGCUAGGCUAAGCUAGGAUAUUUGGUAGAUUAGGUACAUUAAAUGCAUUUUCUUUCGUUUUCUUUGUUUUGUUUUUUUUUUUUUUUUUUUUUUUUUUUUGCGGCAGAAUCUCCCUCUUGCCCAGGUUGGAGUGCAGUGGCACAAUCUCGGCUCACUGCAACCUCCGCCUCCCGGGUUUAAGCGAUUCCCCUGCUUCAGCCUCCCAAAUAGCUGGGAUUACAGGUGCCCGCCACCACGCCCGGCUAAUUUUUGUAUUUUUAGUAGAGACAGGGUUUCACCAUGUUGGCCAGGAUGGUCUCAAACUUCUGACCUCUAGUGAUCCACCCGCCUCGGCCUCCCAAAGUGCUGGGAUUACAGGCG